CCCCCUUUUUCUGUUUUUUUCGUAGUCGAGAAAUCGAGUUUGCGUUAGCUCUCGCAGGCUCAGGGUGCAACGAUUAAGCCAAAAUGCCAUCGAUUCCCUCGGUUCCAUGAUUUAGAUAGUAUAGUAAUAAGCUCGUAUAUAUGUACGUAAUAGCCGACUCAUGCCAUGCUUGUGGUACAUUUUUCGUUUAUUAGCCUAUACACUUGUACGCACGCGCACAAUUCCGAACUGCAAUGGCGGCUUUUCACAGAGUGAUCAAAC
rnacentral:lncRNA from 1 species